CCUAAAAUAAGGACUUAAGUUAAAUAAACUAAUAACCUUCAAAGUUAUAAAUAAAAUAUUAAUUUUAGGC
rnacentral:tRNA from 1 species